CAGGCCUAACACAUGCAAGUCGAACGGGGUAGCAAUACCUAGUGGCGCACGGGUGAGUAACGCGUGGAUAAUCUGCCUUAGAGUGGGGGAUAACUAGUCGAAAGAUUAGCUAAUACCGCAUAAGACCACAAGAACUGCGGUUCAAGGGGUCAAAGGUUUUUCGCUCUAAGAUGAGUCCGCGUAAGAUUAGCUAGUUGGUGAGGUAAUGGCUCACCAAGGCGACGAUCUUUAACUGGUCUGAGAGGAUGAUCAGUCACACUGGAACUGAGACACGGUCCAGACUCCUACGGGAGGCAGCAGUAGGGAAUAUUGCACAAUGGAGGAAACUCUGAUGCAGCGACGCCGCGUGAGUGAUGAAGGCCUUCGGGUCGUAAAGCUCUGUCGCAGGGGAAUAACACAAUGAAUGUACCCUGUAAGAAAGGAUCGGCUAACUUCGUGCCAGCAGCCGCGGUAAGACGAGGGAUCCUAGCGUUGUUCGGAAUUAUUGGGCGUAAAGCGGAUGUAGGUGGCUUUGUAAGUCAGAUGUGAAAGCCCAGGGCUCAACCCUGGAAGUGCAUUUGAUACUGCGAAGCUUGAGUGUCGGAGAGGUUACUAGAAUUGUUGGUGUAGUGGUGAAAUACGUAGAUAUCAACAGGAAUACCGGAGGCGAAGGCGGGUAACUGGCCGAACACUGACACUGAGAUCCGAAAGCGUGGGGAUCAAACAGGAUUAGAUACCCUGGUAGUCCACGCCGUAAACGAUGGAUACUUGUUGUUAGAGGUAUUGACCCCAAUCACUAGU
rnacentral:rRNA from 1 species